UCUCUGACCGGCUUUCAGAAAGAUUUACAAAGGAGCUGCAAACAGAAAGCGGGUGGGAUAGCUGUGCAUGUCAAGAACACAAGAAAAUAAUGUUUUCUUACAUAAGUGGUGUAAGAUAUUGAACUUUUUGGUCAAAAUUUUCAUUCAUCUUUUAUGUCAAGGAGGUUCAUCAUCAUUAUUUUAGCAGCAGUACACCUUUGGCUAAUGCUACCGUAGCAUGUGACCUUGUUGCCGUGGCUGUUGCUAAGCUACAGACACACCGAGCCCAUUACAUUUGUGGGACAACUAGUGAUUCAAAGUGCUGCACGGAGGUGUUCACAGGAAUCUGAAGAGACUCUUCGAGGAUGUUUGGAGGAUACAGACGGCAAUUCACUCAUGAGGCGCUUUCCCAAAGAUGAACCCUGGAUCACCAGUGACCUGAAAGAACUUCUUAACAAGAAAAUUAUAGCUUUCAAGGGUGAUACAUGGAAUUAUGAAGAAUUGUGCAGAAACAAUAUCAGGUGUGGAGGUAAAAUCUGGAAUGUUUAUUUUUCAAUUGCAGUAAACUAAAAAUAUAUGUAUGUCUUUUUAAAGUCACUGAAACCAAAAUGUUUUUGUUUUUUUUGCGGUAUUUAUCAUUUUAAAACAAGAGUUUUUGAGUGCGUUUCUGAAGGAAACUUUCAGAAAAAAAAAAUGUUAAGCUACAAGUCUGCAAAAACAGAUGAAAAAACAGUAGGCCUAUUUCUCCUACAUUAAGAAAGAAAAUGUUUAUGCACCAUAUUUUUCCCUCGUUAAACACUGAUCAUUGAUCCAAAUUUUUGACUUGUCCACAAUUUGAUCCUCAAGAUGCUCUAACAAUGUGAUCUCCCCACCAGCAACUCAACUUCUUUAUUGUUUAAAGCAGUGAUAUAGUGUAAAAGUUGUGUCCAAAUUGUAUUAAAAUCCAGAGCACUAGAUAGUACCGUGCUAUAUAGUAUUUAGGGAUUUGGGUGGGAAUUUGGACUUAGCCAAUUAUUCAGAUUACUAUUGCAAAAGUAAUAUGCUAAUAAGUCAACCAAACUCUUUAAACCACUUUAAAAUCACUAAAAUUCAUCAAAUUCUUUAUUUUCUUCAUCGCUUUUGAACAACUCUAGUGAAGCUUGUACUUCUUCUGCGUUGCUGUCAGUAGCAAAUAUUGCUACACACCUGCAGUGCCCCCUAGUGGUUGUUAGUGGGAACAUAAUGAACAUUUUAGCCUGUUUUUUUAAGUCAUAUAUAAGCCACCCCCCAUCAAAUUAUGCAAAAAGAUGCGACUCAUACCCCGAAAAUACUUCAUAUUUUCCAGUCAGCUCUCUGAAUCAUCACUGUUGCAUCAAUCAUUCAGGCGUGGAAAAACAUGCAAGCUCGUUGCUUUUUUCAUGACAGAGCUUUGAUAACAGUGGCUUAUGAUGCCUCGUUUGGCAAAGAGUUGAGUGUCUGUUCAACUGCUUCACAAACUUUCCAAAGGUUUUCCCCGUCAACAUCGCA